rnacentral:rRNA from 1 species
UACCAGACUCCUACGGGAGGCAGCAGUGGGGAAUAUUGGGCAAUGGGCGCAAGCCUGACCCAGCAACGCCGCGUGAAGGAAGAAGGCUUUCGGGUUGUAAACUUCUUUUCUCAGGGACGAAGCAAGUGACGGUACCUGAGGAAUAAGCCACGGCUAACUACGUGCCAGCAGCCGCGGUAAUACGUAGGUGGCAAGCGUUAUCCGGAUUUACUGGGUGUAAAGGGCGUGUAGGCGGGAGCGCAAGUCAGAUGUGAAAACGCAGGGCUCAACCCUGAGCCUGCAUUUGAAACUGUGUUUCUUGAGUGCUGGAGAGGCAAUCGGAAUUCGGUGUGUAGCGGUGAAAUGCGUAGAUAUACGGCGGAACACCAGUGGCGAAGGCGGAUUGCUGGACAGUAACUGACGCUGAGGCGCGAAAGCGUGGGGAGCAAACAGGAUUAGAUACCCGUGUAC